CACGUAGGGUGCGAGCGUUGUCCGGAAUCAUUGGGCGUAAAGAGCGUGUAGGCGGUCCGGUCAGUCGGUUGUGAAAGUCAAGGGCUCAACCCUUGAAUGCCGGCCGAUACUGCCGGGCUAGAGUCCGGAAGAGGCGAGUGGAAUUCCUGGUGUAGCGGUGAAAUGCGCAGAUAUCAGGAGGAACACCGAUUGCGAAGGCAGCUCGCUGGGACGUUACUGACGCUGAGACGCGAAAGCGUGGGGAGCAAACAGG
rnacentral:rRNA from 1 species